UCGAUAUUUCGAGAAUCGCAAUUUGCGUCAUAUCGAUAGUCUGGCAGCCAUCUUAGUCCGUACGUGCCGCGGCGACCGUUUGGUCGCAUUCAAAACCGCUCCGUAUUUAUCGCGAGUGUUAGUGUCUAAAAGUGAAUCUUGUGCUUGAAUAAUUAUCGCGAAUAUCUCUCGUAAAGUGUCGGACAUACAUUGAAGCGGUAUUAAACCGUGUGACAUCGUUAUUACAAUAUGGGCCCCUCUGAAAUCGCACUGUCGCAUACCUCACUUUUUCUCUUCGACAUAAAUUAUGGGAAAUAGGUGCAGAAUUACCAUCUCGGAAUCAGCCAUUUUAUGUACGUAUAUAUGUGUCGAGAGUAUUUUUCAAUCGAAGAAUAAUACGACACCGAAGUCCUAACAUGACUUACAACGUAUAAUUACUUGUCACAUACACGUGUCAGUCAUAUGCGGCGUACGCUUUGAUGUCGGAUUGUGCGGCAUACGCUUUGAUGUCAGAUUGGAGUUGCGCAUGCAGUUUCAUCCUCUCUAUUCCGAUUUACGACUUGGCGACCUUGGCGUACCCGUUUCGAAUCUCGCAUCAAUUAUCAGUUAUCAUAUCAUAUCGGAAGAAAAGACAGCAGCUCGAGUUAUUUCGUGUGUCUUUGUAUCAUUUUUCGAGUGAUAGUAGAACGAUAACUUCAAAAAUCUGCUUACAAGGAUUACAAGAUGCCGUGAAUAUGACUUAAGGACCUUAAGAAUCAAAUAUGAAAUUAUGCUAAUUGGAGGCAUAUCGUGAUGAGUGGAUGUAAAUAAUAAGAAACAUACUUGACUAUUGGCACAGAGGAUGGAUAUACUUACUUAAAUGCAGUUGCCUAGCGACGGCGAUUGCUGUGCAAGAAGCCACGCUUAAUUUAGUUAUAGUCUGUCAAGGUAGCAUUGCGAGACACAGUGCGAUUCACGCGUCGUGUCGGGAGUGCCGUGUAAAAAUGUCGCGCGUCGGGAGUGCCGUGUAAAGUGUUGGGCAAUCAUAAUUAUUGUGUUUCCGCGAGUGAAUGCUUCGAAGGAUUAAGAAAGGAAGAGGAGACCCGUGGAGGUAUUGCGGAAACAAUAGCGGGGCAACUCUAAAUGCUGUGUACUACAACUCCGCUAUUGCAC